GAUGAACGCUGGCGGCGUGCCUAAUACAUGCAAGUCGAGCGAACAGACGAGGAGCUUGCUCCUCUGACGUUAGCGGCGGACGGGUGAGUAACACGUGGAUAACCUACCUAUCAGACUGGGAUAACUUCGGGAAACCGGAGCUAAUACCGGAUAAUAUAUUGAACCGCAUGGUUCAAUAGUGAAAGACGGUUUUGCUGUCACUUAUAGAUGGAUCCGCGCCGCAUUAGCUAGUUGGUAAGGUAACGGCUUACCAAGGCAACGAUGCGUAGCCGACCUGAGAGGGUGAUCGGCCACACUGGAACUGAGACACGGUCCAGACUCCUACGGGAGGCAGCAGUAGGGAAUCUUCCGCAAUGGGCGAAAGCCUGACGGAGCAACGCCGCGUGAGUGAUGAAGGUCUUCGGAUCGUAAAACUCUGUUAUUAGGGAAGAACAAAUGUGUAAGUAACUAUGAACGUCUUGACGGUACCUAAUCAGAAAGCCACGGCUAACUACGUG
rnacentral:rRNA from 1 species